rnacentral:tRNA from 1 species
GGGCCAGUGGUGCAAUGGACAACGUGGAUGACUGCAGAUCAGAAGCUUGUAGGUUCGUCUCCUACCUGGCUUG